rnacentral:lncRNA from 1 species
UAGAAUGUAAGUUUUAUGGAUGUGACAUGCAUACAUAUGAUAUUCUGCUUAGGUUGCAUAUGGGUGGGAAUUAUGGAACGGAGGAAGUAUAUGAGGAUCACAUGGUUGCUUGACAAUCAUGGAUUCACCGACGGCUUUUAAAGCCCAAUAUGUAAACGAAGAUAGUUCCGCAACCGGGCUACCAUAGUGUGUGGGCUGGGUAGGUUGAUAUUCAUAUCCCC